rnacentral:sRNA from 1 species
AUAACGCACCGACCGGGAGGGUGAGAACCCUCGACAGGGUUCGACAAAACGCUUGGCCAACGGCGGCCCGCAGGGUGAGCGCAGCGAAUCUAUCCCUCCCUCACCGCCA